GGUGAGGUUUUCCUUCUAGUCAUUUUGCUCAGUGCAGAGUGGCCAAAAACAAGUUGUAUUGGGAAAAGGAGAAAAAGAGAGAGAAAGAAGGAAAGAAAAGAGAAAAAGAAAAAAGAAAAAAGUAAGAAAAAAAGGAAAAAAGAGAAGGAAAAGAGAAAGAAAAAGAAAGGGGAAAAAAGGGUGGGGGAAGCAAUCAGAAAUCAAAAAGAAAAAAAAAAACAAAAAAAAAAAAGAAAAAAAACAAACACGGGGGAGUAUCUUCUGCUUCUGUAUACUGUAAGUCCCUUGACUUCCCCUGGAACUUGUCCGUCUAGCUGGUCUUCUGGGGGAGGGGCCUGUUGUGCUGAUUUUCAGGUGUUAGCACUUGGGGGAGCUGCUGUGCCCCUGCCUGGUGCAGGGCUCAGUGGGGGUUGUUUACCCCGUGAGGCCCCAGGAGGAACAGCCCCAGUGGCGGGGCCAGCUCUGGAGCCCUGGAGUCAGCCCCCGCAGGAACUCCGGAGCUCUCCGUCUGCAGGGCCUGGAGGCUCCGGGGCGGGGCCGCUGAUCUGCUCAGCUCGGGCAGGAGCGUCCUUGCUGUCCUGGGCCCUCCCGGCCUCUGCCUGUCCCGGGGGGAGGCGGGAUACUGGGCUGUGUCCUGGCGCCCUGUGCUCCGGGUCUGCGCUGGUGGAUUCGCGCUCCCGCCCCCGAGCCCCUCCAAGCUGCUCCCACCCCGCAGCCCCCUCUGCGGAGCCGCCCCUGAGCCCCCCCAGCUGCUCCCGCCCCGCAGCCCCCUCCGCACGGAGCCUCUUCCUCCGCCCGAGCCCCUCCGAGCUGCUCCGGGUCCCGCCGUGCGCGCUGCAGCCCUUAGGGAGCUCGGCGCACUCUCCUGGGCGCGCAGUUGCUGUUACUGUCCCCGGGAGCCCGAGGGCAUCCCCGCCCUCCUGGGUCUUGCUCCAACUCCCUGCGAGCCCCUUUCCGCCCGGGAAGGUUGGUGCAGCUCCUGCUUCUCCGGGACGGGGCUCUCCUGUCCUGGGGACACUCGCCCCGGCCUCAGCCCGGCUCCUCGCGGGGCCCCUCCCCCUUGGAGGCCUUUUGUUUCCUUAG
rnacentral:lncRNA from 12 species